UACAGAGGGUGCAAGCGUUAAUCGGAAUUACUGGGCGUAAAGCGUGCGUAGGCGGUUAUGUAAGUCAGAUGUGAAAGCCCCGGGCUUAACCUGGGAAUGGCAUUUGAGACUGCAUAGCUAGAGUGCGGAAGAGGGAAGCGGAAUUUCCGGUGUAGCGGUGAAAUGCGUAGAUAUCGGAAGGAACACCAGUGGCGAAAGCGGCUUCCUGGUCCAGCACCGACGUUCAGGCACGAAAGCGUGGGGAGCAAACAGG
rnacentral:rRNA from 1 species